rnacentral:rRNA from 1 species
ACUCUCGGCAACGGAUAUCUCGGCUCUUGCAUCGAUGAAGAACGUUGCGAAAUGCAACAAUUGGUGUGAAUUGUAGAAUCCCAUGAACCAUCGAGUCUAUGAACGCAAGUUACGCUUGAAGCCAUUAGGCCGAGGGCACAUCUGCCUGGGCGUCACGCAUCGCGUUGCCCCCUCGCAUCGUGCCUCAAUCACGGGGCGCACUGUCGUCGUGGGGUGGAUACUGUCCUCACGUGUGCCUCGAGCUCGCGGUUGGCCUAAAUGCGAGUCCACGUCAACGGACGUCGCGGUAAGUGGUGGUUGCAACUCAACUCUCUUUGCCGUCGCGUCUACGGACCAUCGCGCGUCCGGACUCCAGGACCCCUUUACUCUCAGGUGCUCCGACCGCGACCCCAGGUCAGGCGGGAUUACCCGUUGAGUUUAAGCAUAUAAAUAAGCGGAGGAAAAGAAACUUACAAGGAUUCCCUUAGUAACGGCGAGCGAAUCGGGAAUAACCCAGUCUUAGAAUCGGGCGGCUCCAUCGUGCGAAGGCCUCAGCGGCGGACCGGGCCCAAGUCCCCUGGAAGGGGGUGCCGGAGAGGGUGAGAGCCUCGUCGUGCCCGGACCCUUGUGAACCAUGAGGCGUUGUCUACGAGUCUGGUUGUUUGGGAACGCAGCCCAAAUCGGGCGGUGAAUUCCCUCGAAGGCUAAAUACAGGCGAGAGACCGAUAGAGAACAAGUACUGCGAGGGAAAGAUGAAAAGGACUUUGAAAAGAGAGUCAAAGAGUGCUUAAAAUUGUCGGGAGGGAAGCGGAUGGGGGCCGACGAUGCUCCCCGGUCGAAUGUAGAACGGCGACGAGCUGGUACAUCGAUCGACCCGGGGAGUCGACCAGCGUGGAUUAGGGGGCGGCCAAAGCCCAGGCUCUCGAUACGCUCGUGGAAUGCCGUCUUCUCGAUUGUGGAAGGCAGCACACGCCUCCAGCAUGCUUCGGCAUUUGUGCACUCCGGACGCUGGCCUGUGGGCUCCCCAUUCGACCCAUCUUGAAACACGGACCAAGGAGUCUGACAUGUGUGUGAGUCAACGGGCGAGUAAACCCGUAAGGCACAAGGAAGCUGACUGGUGGGAUCACCCCGAGGGGUGCACCACCGACCGACCUUGAUCUUCUGAGAAGGGUUCGAGUGUGAGCAUACCUGUCGGGACCCGAAAGAUGGUGAACUAUGCCUGAGCGGGGCAAAUCCAGAGGAAACUCUAGUGGAGGCCCGCAGCGAUACUGACGUGCAAAUUGUUCGUCUGACUUAGGUAUAGGGGCGAAAGACUAAUCGAACCGUCUAGCAGCUUGUUCCCUCUGAAGUUUCCCUCAGGAUAGAUGGAGCUCGCGUGCGAGUUCUAUCGGCUAAAGCCAAAGAUUACAGGCCUUGGGGAUGCAACGCCCUCGAACUAUUCUCAAACUUUAAAUAGGUAGGACGGCGCGACUGCUUCAUUUAGCCACACCACGGAAGCAAGGGCUGCGAGUGGGUCAUUUUUGGUAAGCAGAACUGGCGAUGCGGGAUGAACCGGAAGCCAGGUUAUGGUGCCAAAAUGCAUGCUAACCUAGAUCCCACAAAGGGUGUUGGUCGAUUAAGAUAGCAGGACGGUGGUCAUGGAAGUCGAAAUUCGCUAACGAGUGUAUAACAACUCACCUGCCAAAUAAACUAGCCUCGAAAAUGUAUGGCGCUUAAGCGCGCGACCAACACCCGGCCGUCGGGGCAAGUGCCAGGCCCCGAUGAGUAGGAGGGCGUGGCAGUCACUGUAAAACCUUGGGCGCGAGCCCGGGCGGAGCGGCCGUCGGUGUAGAUAUUGGUGGUAGUAGCAAAUAUUCAAAUGAGAACUUUGAAGGCCGAAGAGGGGAAAGAUUCCAUGUGAAUGGCACUUGCACAUGGGUUAGUCGAUCCUAAGGGUCGGGGAAACCCCGACUGAUAGCACAUUUUGCGCGAGCUCCAAAAGGGAAUAGGGUUAAAAUUCCUGAACUGGGAUGUGGCGGUUGACGACAACGUUAGGAAGUCCGGAGACGUCAGUGGGAGCCUCAGGAAGAUUUAUCUUUUCUGUUUAACAGCCUGCCCACCCUGCAAUCGGCUCAGCCGGAGGUAGAGUCCAGCGACUGGAAGAGAACCGCACGUCACGUGGUAUCCGGUGUGUUCCCGAUGGCCCUUGAAAAUCCAGAGGACCAAAUGUCAUCCAUACCCGGUUGUACUCAUAACCGCAUCAGGUCUCCAAGGU